rnacentral:misc_RNA from 1 species
UACGGAGGGUGCAAGCGUUAAUCGGAAUUACUGGGCGUAAAGCGCACGCAGGCGGUCUGUCAAGUCGGGUGUGAAAGCCCCGGGCUUAACCUGGGAACGGCAUUCCGAACUGUCAGGCUAGAGUCUUGUAGAGGGGGGUAGAAUUCCAGGUGUAGCGGUGAAAUGCGUAGAGAUCUGGAGGAAUACCGGUGGCGAAGGCGGCCCCCUGGACAAAGACUGACGCUCAGGUGCGAAAGCGUGGGGAGCAAACAGG